UCUUCCCAACCCUUCCAUCUUCGAACUUCUGCUCCAUAGGAGGUCGACGACCGUUCUUCAAGCAAUCAAAACCGUGCUGCCGUCCACGCUCCACCCGUCGAUAGGAGGUGCUCCGGCCGGAUACUCUUUAUUCUUGAAAUCUUCCAUACUAAAACAAAGGGAUAGUAAAAGAGAAGAUAAGUAGUGACCGAUUGCGUGCUGUCGGGAUAAUUGGAAGAAAGCCAAAGAAAAUUGGAUCAGUCCACUCUUUAAGUAGUGACGAGGAGAUACCAAAUAACACAAUGGAAAGUCUUCCAGUUGAAAGAAAUAGUCAGAAACGACAAUCUAAGAAAAGAGAAUAGAGUGGAACGAUCCUUGAUGUAAGUGAAACACCUAAAAGGACAAAAAUAAAUUUAAAGAAUGUAAAAGUGCCAAUAAAGGGUAAAAGAAAGACAAGAUUAAGUGACAUCGACAAACAUGAAGAAGAUAUUGAAGAGAAAAAGAAAAUCAAAAACACACAUAAGAAUACGUUGAAAAUGAUAGCAAUGAGGAGGUUAAAGGACCACCAAAUAGCAACGAAGAAGUAACAUCACAGCCAGAAGACUCCACC